CCUACGGGAGGCAGCAGUGAGGAAUAUUGGUCAAUGGACGAGAGUCUGAACCAGCCAAGUAGCGUGAAGGAUGACUGCCCUAUGGGUUGUAAACUUCUUUUAUAAAGGAAUAAAACGAGGCACGUGUGCCUUUUUGCAUGUACUUUAUGAAUAAGGAUCGGCUAACUCCGUGCCAGCAGCCGCGGUAAUACGGAGGAUCCGAGCGUUAUCCGGAUUUAUUGGGUUUAAAGGGAGCGUAGAUGGGUUGUUAAGUCAGUUGUGAAAGUUUGCGGCUCAACCGUAAAAUUGCAAUUGAUACUGGAAGUCUUGAGUACAGUUGAGGUAGGCGGAAUGCGUGGUGUAGCGGUGAAAUGCUUAGAUAUCACGAAGAACCCCGAUUGCGAAGGCAGCUUACUAAACUGUGACUGACAUUGAUGCUCGAAAGUGUGGGUAUCAAACAGGAUUAGAUACCCUUGUAGUC
rnacentral:rRNA from 1 species